rnacentral:rRNA from 1 species
CGACGUGAGUAAUCUUCCUUAGAGUGGGGGAUAACCAGUCGAAAGACUGGCUAAUACCGCAUAUGACCACAGGAUCUGCGGAUCCAGGGGUAAAAGGUUUUUCGCUCUAAGAUGAGCUCGCGUAAGAUUAGCUAGUUGGUGAGGUAACGGCUCACCAAGGCAACGAUCUUUAACAGGUCUGAGAGGAUGAUCUGUCACACUGGAACUGAGACACGGUCCAG